AUUGAACGCUGGCGGCAUGCUUUACACAUGCAAGUCGAGCGGCAGCGCGGGCUUCGGCCUGGCGGCGAGUGGCGAACGGGUGAGUAAUACAUCGGAACGUGCCCAGUAGUGGGGGAUAGCUCGGCGAAAGCCGGAUUAAUACCGCAUACGACUUGAGGGUGAAAGCGGGGGAUCUUCGGACCUCGCGCUAUUGGAGCGGCCGAUGGCAGAUUAGCUAGUUGGUGGGGUAAAGGCCUACCAAGGCGACGAUCUGUAGCUGGUCUGAGAGGACGACCAGCCACACUGGGACUGAGACACGGCCCAGACUCCUACGGGAGGCAGCAGUGGGGAAUUUUGGACAAUGGGCGAAAGCCUGAUCCAGCAAUGCCGCGUGUGUGAUGAGGGCCUUCGGGUUGUAAAGCACUUUUGGCGGGAACGAAAAGGACUGUGCCAAUACCACGGUUCGAUGACGGUACCCGCAGAAUAAGCACCGGCUAACUACGUG
rnacentral:rRNA from 1 species